rnacentral:rRNA from 1 species
AACGAACGCUGGCGGCAUGCCUAACACAUGCAAGUCGAACGAGACCUUCGGGUCUAGUGGCGCACGGGUGCGUAACGCGUGGGAACCUGCCCUUAGGUUCGGAAUACCUCCCCGAAAGGGGUGCUAAUACCGGUUAAUGUCUUCGGACCAAAGAUUUAUCGCCUUUGGAUGGGCCCGCGUUGGAUUAGCUAGUUGGUAGGGUAAAAGCCUACCAAGGCGACGAUCCAUAGCUGGUCUGAGAGGAUGAUCAGCCACACUGGGACUGAGACACGGCCCAGACUGCGACGGGAGGCAGCAGUGGGGAAUAUUGGACAAUGGGCGAAAGCCUGAUACAGCAAUGCCGCGUGAGUGAUGAAGGCCUUAGGGUUGUAAAGCUCUUUUAGCCGGGAUGAUAAUGACAGUACCGGGAGAAUAAGCUCCGGCUAACUCCGUG